AGUGAACGCUGGCGGUAGGCCUAACACAUGCAAGUCGAACGGAAGCACAGUAAGAGCUUUCUCUUACGGGUGGCGAGUGGCGGGCGGGUGAGGCAUACAUCGGCAUCUACUUUUUCGUGGAGGAUAACGGAGGGCCACUUCCGCUAAUACCGCAUACGACCUACGGCUUAAAGCAAUAGAUAUACGCACCUUUGCCGUUUGAUUGAGCCGAUUCCAGGUCGGAUUAGCUAGUUGGUAAGGUAACGGCAUACCAAGGCGACGAUCCGUAGCCGAUCUGAGAGGAUGAUCGGCCACACUGGAACUGAGACACGGUCCAGACUCCUACGGGAGGCAGCAGUGGGGAAUAUUGGACAAAGGGCGCAAGCCUGAUCCAGCCAUACCGCGUGAGUGAAGAAGGCCUUCGGGUUGUAAAGCCCUUUUGUUGGGAAAGAAAAGAAGCAGGUUAAUACCCCGCUGUUCUGACGGUACCCAAAGAAUAAGCACCGGCUAACUUCGUG
rnacentral:rRNA from 1 species